GUCCAGUAUUUUCCUCCCCAAGAACUAACUUUUCUGCCUUAGAACCUAUGCCAAUACACACACGCAACGUCCAUUCUCUCUCAUCAGAACAACUUCUCUCUCUUCGCAUUUCUCACUCUUCAACUCGACCUUCAGCUUUCUUCUUCUUCAACUUUUGUUUCUCACACAAAAGUUCUUCAACUCCCCAAGCUCUCUGUUCUUCAAAAUAUUUUUCCUUUUUUAUCUCUCCCGAAGCCUCUCAUGAUGCUUCUUCUUACUUUUUUCCUUCUUCCUCUUUUACUUUGUAUUUUGUUCAGCUUCUUUCUUCUUCCUCUUCACUUUUUUCUCUUUCUGCUUUUGGACAAGUGAUACAGAUCUCAAAGCAAAGAAUCAUCAUAUGAGAUAAAUCUAUAAUCCUGUUUACAAAAUGUUGUUUCGAUUUCAAGCAAAAAUUAUGGAGAUUUUCUUUUGGGAUGUCGAUUCGAUUUCAAGCGAAGAAGAUGGAGAUCUGUUUGUGGGUUAUGGUUUAGUUUCAAGCGAAAAUUUGAUGGCGAUGGAUCUGACUUUUUGGCGAUUUCACGGUGGUGUGCGAUUUGGCAGUGGUAUAUCUGUCAUAAAGCUUCAAACUUUUUGCAUAUAUUCAAAUGUGUAAUAUUCCAUUGUUUUGAUUGUUUUGUUUCUAUAUAAUUUUACAUGUGUAAUAUUCCUUUUUUUCAAGUCAAGUCCAAUCCCUGAAAGUAAUGAUGGUGAUGCAAAAAUAGUUGGGAAUAAUUUUAAUGAGAUUGUCAUGGAUGAAUCAAAAGAUGUUCUCCUUGAGGUCCAUUUGUGAAGAAACUAAGUGGUACGGGAAAGACGAUUCUGAUUUGCACCAGCCCGGAUCUCAAUAAUUUUGGAGUCGGGCUGUGUCGAAUGGGUAGUUGAAUUUGAGCCUUCAGUAUUCGUAGAUUGUGAGCAGUGUGGGAUAUAAUAAGAUUUGCAGUUCUGAAGUGUGAGAUAUAAUCCUAUUUUGAUUAUUUCUCAACUAACUGAGAAAUAAUCAAAAUUACAAUGACCUCUUGCAGAUCAUGAACGACUAUUGCUCCACUCAAGCGAAUGAAAAUUUUGCUACAGGUGUUUGCAAGUAGAUCAGGAGCAACAACAAUAAGAAGAAUCAAAGCAGCAGGCAAUUCUAGCCAAUCUGCGAUAACCGUGACGAAAAAUUAGAAAUUAUUCCGGGGAAAGUGUUUUGUGGUUUUCUUUCUUUUUUCAUUAUUUCAUCAGUGGUAGUUAUGCUGCUGGGUGCAUAAUUGGAGGAUGACUUAUAUUUGGAUCCGGUAAUUGGUAGUGGAGUGUUGUAUCUGUUUUUCGGCGUAGUUGCGAAUUGGAUUUGAAGUCGUUUUUUUUUUGUUUCAGUAUGUGUGAUAACAAGUUGGUAUGAAUAGUGCGGGCGACAUUAUGUUUGUUCUGAUCUUGGUGCGAGCGUGUUUUCGUUGCUGCUGUAUCUACUUUUGUAUAUUUGUAGGAUGUUGUUGUUAUUAU